AAUCAACGCUGGCGGCGUGCCUCAGACAUGCAAGUCGAACGCUGCUGUUCGCCUUCGGGUGGACAGCGGAGUGGCGCACGGGUGAGUAACACGUAGGUAAUCUACCUUUGGGUGGGGAAUAACAGCCGGAAACGGCUGCUAAUACCGCAUAAUGCAGCGGCAUCACAUGAUGACAGUUGUUAAAGCGGGGGAUCGUAAGACCUCGCGCCUGAAGAGGAGCCUGCGGCAGAUUAGGUAGUUGGUGAGGUAAUGGCUCACCAAGCCUGCGAUCUGUAACCGGCCUGAGAGGGCGGUCGGUCACAC
rnacentral:rRNA from 1 species